UACAGAGACUGCAAGCGUUAUUCGGAUUCACUGGGCGUAAAGGGUGCGCAGGCGGUUGGGUGUGUCAGAUGUGAAAUCCCGAGGCUUAACCUCGGAACUGCGUCUGAAACUACUCGGCUAGAGUACUGGAGAGGGAAACGGAAUUCACGGUGUAGCAGUGAAAUGCGUAGAUAUCGUGAGGAACACCAGAGGCGAAGGCGGUUUCCUGGACAGUUACUGACGCUCAGGCACGAAAGCAUGGGGAGCAAAAGGG
rnacentral:rRNA from 1 species